rnacentral:lncRNA from 1 species
UUUGCUAGCUGUUCCUUUUGCCGGCUUGUGUCCACCAGAAGAUGACUUUCUAUCAGAUCUUGACGUUGAUGAUCCACCAAACAAGGAUGCAGCGAGUCUCUGUUUCUCAGGAUCAAUUUCGGGUUUCUUCGAUUCAUAACUGCUUCGAGGUUUUAAGCUAGAUGAGCCAACUCCAACAUCCGGGUGACUACUGGUACCAUUUGCUGCUUGCGGAGGAGUAGAAGAAGCGGAUGUGGACGACUGAUAGCUGGGUCUACCCCAUUUUUGUUUAACUCCAUCGAGUCGCAGCUUGAUUUCUGAUGACUCUCGUUCAGACACGGAAGAAGUUGAAAUUGGCUGGUGUGCCUCGCUGUAAUAAGAAGGCUCGGGUACUGGAACAAGCUCGGUCGAAGCUUGUGUUGGCAAUGAUGAUGGCUUUGGACGUUCAUAGGCUUCAAAUCUAAGAGCAUGAGAUGGAACCUCAUGAUGAUCUUGGGAAUGGUAAUCAGUUGUUUCCAGCAUACAAGAGCGCUCUCUCUCAGAUAUAUAAGGUUGCGCUCCACUCUCAAUAGCUUGUUGGAUGUAGCCAUUGAGAAAUGAAAGAUCUUUAUCAACCUAAAUUCAGGAAAAAAAAAAGAAUGACUGUGAGAUUCAGGAAAUUCACGUUACAAGGGAAUGCAUAGGGAUUGGAUUUUCCUUGGGGGGUUUGCUAGCUGUUCCUUUUGCUGGCUUGUGUCCACCAGAAGAUGACUUCCUAUCAGAUCUUGACGAUGAUGAUCCACCAAACAAGGAUGCAGCGAGUCUCUGUUUCUCAGGAUCAAUUUCGGGUUUCUUUGAUUCAUAACUGCUUCGAGGUUUUAAGCUAGAUGAGCCAACUCCAACAUCCGGGUGACUACUGGUACCAUUUGCUGCUUGCGGAGGAGUAGAAGAAGCGGAUGUGGACGACUGAUAGCUGGGUCUACCCCAUUUUUGUUUAACUCCAUCGAGUCGCAGCUUGAUUUCUG